rnacentral:lncRNA from 1 species
CGGGCGGCUGCGCGCGCGGGGCGGCCCCAGGCGGGCGGUGUAGCGGGGCAGGAGCAGAGCGCCGGGUUUAAAAGAGAAGGGAGGGACGGCUAGAAACCGCGGGAUGCGGCGCGCCAGGCUCGCGCCUCGAGAGCCAUCUAAUGAAGACCAGCUCACAGGCACUCACUGAUACUUAAAUUUUAACUGGGAGUCCUAGGAAGGACAAGAUGGGGAGGCCAACGUGCAUCCCCGUGUGGCCCACCCAGGCUGAGGCUGAGCCACUGUGACGGGCUGUAUGCUGAAGACAAGUAUUUGCUGUCUCUUUUAGUAAUCCCGACAGAACAAAUGAGUUAUCAGAAAAUGGAUGAAUGAGUUACCUCUGGAAGCAGAGUUCAGUUGGGAAAAAUGCCAAGGAAUGGAGAAGAGGUAUCAAAGAGCAUAACCAAUACUGCUGCGCGGAGAAGGGAGUUGGGAUUACUCAAGACUCACAUAAGUACAUACAUGUCUUCCCAAUGUCAGCCAACAGAGCACAGCUGCAUCCUGGAGAGUGCCUGGAGCAAGCACUGCAAGCCAUAUGAUUCAGCAGCUGCAGUUUUCUCACCUGCAGACACACUGGGCUGUUGCAUUGCACAGGACAAGAGGAGUGUGAACCAGAGGUCUGGGAAUUCUCUAUCUACGUUUCUCUGCUGUUAA